rnacentral:tRNA from 3 species
UGUCCUGGUAGCUCAGCUGGAUAGAGCAAUGGCCUUCUAAGCCAUCGGUCGGGGGUUCGAAUCCCUCCCAGGACGCUAA